UAUUGGUGACACCGAUACCCCGGAAGAGGAGGAGCAACAGAGCAGCCUGGCCAGAGGGCCACGUCCCCACUGAAGUCCUGAUGAGGAGAGAGAGGCGGAGUCACCAAAACACUACGCCAGGCCACAAGGGGCACUCCAGGAGGGGUGAAGCUAGGAAAUGGCAGGUUCCACCGCUGAAUUCAACAAGUUGUCAUGGCAUGGAGACAGUCUACCAGCAAGCUAGCUUAACGCCUGCCUUUGACUCCUAAAAGGGCUAGGGUCUCAAGUGGACACUCAGUAGAAGCCUUUGACUGCACUGCUGCUGCAAGUUCUCUGUGCCAGGACCCACACGUGCUAAGGAACGUACGACAUGCACGCUUGCCACCACAGCCCCGCACAGACCAAGGCCAGGUUCGUCUCACUCAUUCCCUCCGGCAGAGGGCAGGUUCCGUACCUG